CCUCGCGCUCGUCAGAAGUGGCGCUUGCCUGUCUUUUCAAGCCUGUUAUAUGUGGAUUAUAUACAUUUGCACAAACAGUAUCUACUGUCCUGAGCCCCAGGUUACAGCCUUUGAACGUGACAGGGCGUAGAAGAGCAUGAGCUGCACAAUGGGCUGCCAUCGCAUGUGCACGGGGAGAUGGGGACAGAGCGAACCGCGAGAGCUGCUGGCAUGACUGCCCGAUUACCAACACGGCUGUAUAGUGUUGGGGGGCUCUCUGCAGGUUAAAAGUUGCCAGAAUGAAAAGGGUCCUGCAGGUGGAUGAACAGCACCAGGCCUCCAGCUCCAAAGAGCAAGAUGAAGAAGAACAGACAGGGCAGCUUCAUGGCGAC